UACGUAGGGGGCAAGCGUUGUCCGGAUUUAUUGGGCGUAAAGAGCGUGUAGGCGGCCAUGUAGGUCCGUUGUGAAAACUCGAGGCUACCAACCUCGAGACGCCGAUGGAAACCAUCUGACUAGAGUCCGGAAGAGGAGAGUGGAAUUCCUGGUGUAGCGGUGGAAUGCGCAGAUAUCAGGAAGAACACCCGUGGCGAAGGCGGUUCUCUGGGACGGUACUGACGCUGAGACGCGAAAGCGUGGGGGAGCGAACAGG
rnacentral:rRNA from 1 species